rnacentral:siRNA from 1 species
UCCAGCUCGAGCCACCUACUA